GUCACGUGAUGCAGCACAUGACCACAACGCCACAGACACAUUGGAAACACAAUCCCACAUCUCCCUCCGACCAUUCACAAAUAAUGUGUAUAGUGUAAUAUAAUAAAAGUGGACUAAGAUAUAGCCAGCCAGGGGAUAAGGGACUGCAUAACCAUGGAUACAAAUCAUAAUUUUCCACAGAUUGGUCUGAUAGGCAACAGACAACAGAAUGGCAAUGUGGUCAUGUGGACAACCACAUGACCGGAUUGCGGUGCCAAAUCACAUGAUCAAAAGCGACCUUAUUGUAUACAGGUACAAUUAUACAAUCAGUGCAAACAUAAAUAUAAGGGAGCAGUAGCAAUAAAGUGCCAAUGCACCAAAACAGGCGCCCUAUUGGCGUAAAGUGCAAUGUGCAGUAAUAGUUAUCUACUAUGUUUCUAUUAUAUAUUGUCCAUAUCACGAAAAACCAAAGUUAGACGACUUGACAUUAUAUAUAUAUAUAUAUAAGGCUACAAAGCAUUGACAGAUAGUAGUUGUGUGCAUGAUAAAAAAACAACCUUAAACCAUAAGAGGUAAUGAUUAUAAUUGGAA